rnacentral:snRNA from 1 species
UCAGCUCUCUUUGCCUUCGGGCUUAGAUCAAGUGUAGCCAAUGGCUUUCUUAGUUUAAUCUCUAGGACGUCUCUACGGAGAUAUUACCUUGAUUUUCUGAUUUUUGGAACCAGGCACUGGGGCGCUGAGCUUGCUCAUCUCCAGAGCCACUGUGCCGCCUGUAUUGCACUGUCUCGGGCUGGCGCGAACCUUU